AGCAUGAUCAGCCAUGCCGCGUGAUUGAUGAAGGCCCUACGGGUUGUAAAGAUCUUUCAACAGUGAAGAAAUGACGGUAACUGUAGAAGAAGCACCGGCUAACUCCGUGCCAGCAGCCGCGGUAAUACGGAGGGAGCUAGCGUUGUUCGGAAUUACUGGGCGUAAAGCGCGCGUAGGCGGAUUAUUAAGUCAUAGGUGAAAUAAUCCCGAGGCUCCCGGAACUGUGGCCUUUCAAACUGGCUAUCUGUAGGUCAAGGGAGGAGAAUGGCUGUCCGAGUGGGAAAGUUAAAUAUUCAGAUGAACGGAGAAACACCCGGUGCUCGAAGGCUUUCUUUGGC
rnacentral:rRNA from 1 species